GGCAAGAUGGCCGAGUGGUCUAAGGCGCUGUGUUUAGGCUUUGUCUCUCAGGUAGAGCUAAAACCGCAGUCUUCACGGGCGUGGGUUCGAAUCCCACUCUUGUCA